rnacentral:rRNA from 1 species
CAGCAGCCGCGGUAAUACGUAGGGUGCAAGCGUUAAUCGGAAUUACUGGGCGUAAAGCGUGCGCAGGCGGUUAUAUAAGACAGAUGUGAAAUCCCCGGGCUCAACCUGGGAACUGCAUUUGUGACUGUAUAGCUAGAGUACGGCAGAGGGGGAUGGAAUUCCGCGUGUAGCAGUGAAAUGCGUAGAUAUGCGGAGGAACACCGAUGGCGAAGGCAAUCCCCUGGGCCUGCACUGACGCUCAUGCACGAAAGCGUGGGGAGCAAACAGGAUUAGAUACCCGGGUAGUCCCUGUCUCUUAUAC